rnacentral:rRNA from 1 species
CAGGCUUAACACAUGCAAGUCGAGGGGCACCAUUUUACUUAGCUUGUCAACUAGAGAUGGCAACCGGCGCACGGGUGACUAACACGUAUCCCACCUGCCGAUAAGCUCUCGGAUAGCCUUAUCAAAAGAAAGAUUAAUAUGCGAUAGUAUAUUAAAACCGCAUGGUUUUACGAUUAAAGAAUUUCGGCUAUCGAGGGGGAUGCUUUCCAUUAGUUUGAUGGCGGGGUAACGGCCCACCAAGACUACGAUGGAUAGAGGUUCUGACAAGAAGGUCCCCCGCAUUGGAACUGAGACACUGACCACAACUCCUACAGUACGCAGCAAUGAGGAAUAUUGGUCAAUGGACCAGAGUCUGAACCACCCAAGUAGCGUGAACGAUGACUGCCCUAUGGGUUGCAAACUUCUUUUAUAUGGCAAUAAAGUAUACCACGUGAGGGAUUUUGUAUGUACCAUAUGAAUAAGGAUCGGCUAACUCCGUGCCAGCAUCCGCGGUAAUACGGAGGAUCCGAGCGUUAUCGCGGAUUUAUUGAGUUUAAAGGGAGCGUAUGUGGAUAGUUAAAUCACUUGUGAUAGUUUGCGGCUCAACCGUAAAAUUGCAGUUGAAACUGGCAGUCUUGAGUACAGUAGAGGUGGGCGGAAUUCGUGGUGUAGCGGUGAAAUGCUUAGAUAUCACGAAGAACUCCGAUUGCGAAGGCAGCUCACUAGACUGCAACUGACACUGAUGCUCGAAAGUGUGGGUAUCAAACAGGAUUAGAUACCCUGGUAGUCCACACAGUAAACGAUGAAUACUCGCUGUUUGCGAUAUACAGUAAGCGGCCAAGCGAAAGCAUUAAGUAUUCCACCUGGGGAGUACGCCGGCAACGGUGAAACUCAAAGGAAUUGAUGGGGGCCCGCACAAGCGGAGGAACAUGUGGUUUAAUUCGAUGAUACGCGAGGAACCUUACCCGGGCUUAAAUUGCAAAUGAAUAAUCUGGAAACAGGUUAGCCGCAAGGCAUUUGUGAAGGUGCUGCAUGGUUGUCGUCAGCUCGUGCCGUGAGGUGUCGGCUUAAGUGCCAUAACGAGCGCAACCCUUAUCUUUAGUUACUAACAGGUUAUGCUGAGGACUCUAGAGAGACUGCCGUCGUAAGAUGUGAGGAAGGUGGGGAUGACGUCAAAUCAGCACGGCCCUUACGUCCGGGGCUACACACGUGUUACAAUGGGGGGUACAGAAGGCAGCUACCUGGUGACAGGAUGCUAAUCCCAAAAACCUCUCUCAGUUCGGAUCGAAGUCUGCAACCCGACUUCGUGAAGCUGGAUUCGCUAGUAAUCGCGCAUCAGCCAUGGCGCGGUGAAUACGUUCCCGGGCCUUGUACACACCGCCCGUCAAGCCAUGAAAGCCGGGGGUACCUGAAGUACGUAACCGCAAGGAGCGUCCUAGGGUAAAACUGGUAAUUGGGGCUAAGUCAUAAC